rnacentral:rRNA from 1 species
UACAGAGGUCUCAAGCGUUGUUCGGAUUCAUUGGGCGUAAAGGGUGCGUAGGCGGCGCGGUAAGUCGGGUGUGAAAUCUCGGAGCUUAACUCCGAAACUGCAUUCGAUACUGCCGUGCUUGAGGACUGGAGGGGAGACUGGAAUUCCUGGUGUAGCGGUGAAAUGCGCAGAUAUCAGGAGGAACACCGGUGGCGAAGGCGGCACUCUGGGCCGGUACUGACGCUGGAGGAGCGAAAGCGUGGGGGAGCGAACAGG